CUACGGAGGAACCGAGCGUUAUCCGGAUUUAUUGGGUUUAAAGGGUGCGCAGGCGGCCAUUUAAGUCAGCGGUUAAAUCGUGGGGCUCAACCCCAUUCUGCCGUUGAUACUGGGUGGCUUGAUUGCGGUCGAGGUUGGCGGAAUUCGUUGUGUAGCGGUGAAAUGCAUAGAUAUGACGAAGAACACCGGUUGCGUAGGCAGCUGACCAGACCGCAAAUGACGCUCAUGCACGAGAGUGCGGGGAUCGAACAGGAUUAGAUACCCUGGUAGUCCGCACAGUAAACGAUGAAUACUUGUUUUCGGCGAUAUAAUGUCGGAGGCAAAGCGAAAGCGAUAAGUAUUCCGCCUGGGGAGUACGCCGGCAACGGUGAAACUCAAAGGAAUUGACGGGG
rnacentral:rRNA from 1 species